AAGAUAGCUGUGGGAGAAGAUAAAAAGGCCAGUUUACUGGUCUGGCUGCGUGGAUACAGAGUCAUUCAACCUGCUAAUGAAUAUAUUUCAAUCAAGGUCCUGGAAUCUGACCAUUCUGAUUAGCCACUCCUGAUGGUGUAGGAAAGGAAAGAAUUUCAGCUUCAGAAGGAAAGCUACAGUUUUUUUUUGUUUUUCUUCCACAUACUCACUCACUCACCCUCACGCCCAACUAAACUAUGAAAGUUCCUGGGGAAAAGUGAUAGAGAACAUAAAAUGAGAGCUCUGGUUACCAUUCUAUUUCUAAACAUUCAUUGCACUCUUUAUUAUUUUAAUACAAAUCCUGUUUUCUCUUUGCUUUACUCACAAACCUGUGUUUUACUCCACUUGAAUAUUGUGAUUUAAUACCUAUUAAAAGAGAAUUACUGUGGUCGCCCCUCAACUUUUUUGCACUUAUCUCUUUUAUAAUUUCUUACUUUGUUGCAGAGACAAGAAAGAUUUGCUGAUAGAUCACUGUUGGAAAUGGAAAAAAGGGAACGAAGAGCUCUAGAAAGAAGAAUAUCUGAAAUGGAAGAAGAGCUCAAAAUGUUACCAGACCUAAAAGCAGACAACCAGAGGCUAAAGGAUGAAAAUGGGGCCUUGAUCAGAGUUAUAAGCAAACUUUCCAAAUAAAAAAAAAGAAAAAAAAAA
rnacentral:sRNA from 1 species